rnacentral:rRNA from 1 species
UACGAAGGGGGCUAGCGUUGUUCGGAAUCACUGGGCGUAAAGGGCGCGUAGGCGGCUUUAUAAGUCGGGGGUGAAAGCCUGUGGCUCAACCACAGAAUUGCCUUCGAUACUGUAGAUCUUGAGUCCGGGAGAGGUGAGUGGAACUGCGAGUGUAGAGGUGAAAUUCGUAGAUAUUCGCAAGAACACCAGUGGCGAAGGCGGCUCACUGGCCCGGUACUGACGCUGAGGUGCGAAAGCGUGGGGAGCAAACAGG